rnacentral:tRNA from 1 species
GCCUUCGUGGUGUAUGGUCAGCACGUUCGACGCGUAACCGAGAGGUCCGCGGUUCCAUUCCCGUCGAAGGCA